AAGAGCCGAAAUUUCUCGAAAGUUGAAAGUAGAAUUUCUUUUAUCGAUACGUAACAACUACCGGUUGUAGGUUUUAAACUACAAAGCGUGCACGGUAGAUUGAGAACCACCACGAACUCGCGGCAUAUCCCAGUAUUGCACCAUUGCACCACGUUCUGUAGUGUGCAAAAGUACUUCCCCCACUUGGUAUCGAUAGCUGUGCAGAGAGCACGUGCCAUCAGCAGUCACCGCUGGACCACAGCUGAAGCGGAGGAGGCGCGCGGGUACAAUGAAACCGCAUACAACGGUUCCGACGCAAGAGACUCGUUGUGAAAGGGAGAUCAGCAUAAUCCAUGGAAGAACAAAGCUGGCUGAAGGCGUGUACUCGAUUGGAUGGAACGAGAAGGACCGUUUCAGAAUAUCUGCAUCCGGUUGGUCACUUCCGGCACGCGCUGAGACACGUGGCCCUCGCUUGCCCCUUGCGUUCCUAGCCCCUUCUCGCCACGCAGGGGGGAGUAGUAUUUUCUUUUAAGGGCCCAAUGAAAUUAGGACCCAUCUAAGCGAAGGGUCUGUCUCUAAACAUCGAGUAGAAAGUAUCUUUCGUGCUUAUCGAAUGGGUGCCCCAAAUGUAAAUACCUCUUAAACUUUUCCUCCGCGCCGUGCAUUAUUCCCAUAUAUUUAAUUACAAUAUACAUU
rnacentral:misc_RNA from 1 species